CGCAUCCCCAUCAUGCUCGCGCUACUCGUCUGUACUUCACACCGCGGCCUGGUGGGGCCCUCCUAUCGGGUCUGCCCCCUUCACCGUAACAGCUCCACCGCGUUCACUGCCGCGCGCAGCCAGAUUCGGGCGCUCCGGUCUCAAUGGGAUUCCCUAGAAAGCUGGGUAAAUAACUUGGAUCCGUUCGGACUACCCCUGCUCCUAGGAUCAUAAAUGCCCCGCCCGCACCUUCUCGUCGUCAACCAAACCAUCUGGCGUCUGGCAGGGAGCGCGGUGCCGAGCCAAGAAAAUAGAGAGGGGAGAGAGAAGGAGGUGCCGCCAUCGCUGGGCUCUGGGGAGGGGCAUCGUGGGAGAUUAUCGGACUUCAUGUGGUAUGGGCGCAUCGUUUGUAGGCGAUUGGGAGCACCAGGGGGAUUGGAAUUCGUCGUUGGGGCCUCUUCAUCCCUGCAGAACUACCAUGCGCCAGCGAGGCUGGGCGACGGGAGCUGGAAGAUGAAUGGUGGCCCUCGAUCCUGAUUUGGACGGAUACAGCUGCGACACGCUUACCUUGUGCCACAACCAUAAGUCUUGAUCCCUCGGUCCCGUCAUCAUAUCGGUUCGCGGUCUAAUCUGGACUCUUGAUUCUUCAUCGGACGUCCGGGUAGUGUGCGGGAUUCUUCAUUGCGCCCGAAGUGCAAUCGUGGCCGCAUAUAGGUGAUCGGGCGACCACGGUGUGUUGGUACCCCUUCUGUCGCACCGAUUUACAAAAGAGCCCCUCGGCUUUCACAGAAUCAACUCGUCGUUCGUGCCCUGUGUAAAUUAUUUACAUUCGUGCCCUGAAAAUUCAUAAAACAGCCCCUGAACUCUGUGAUAUUAGUGGUCGCAGUCCAGGAAUUAAAGAAAAUAGGAAAG
rnacentral:lncRNA from 7 species